GCAGGGCCGCUCGCGGAGAGCAGUGCUCGACUUAAGAUCCUGUGGCGUAGGCCUUCAUGGGUUCGAAUCCCAUCCCCCGCACCA
rnacentral:tRNA from 3 species